UAAACAGGUGUGUAUAUUUUAGCUUAUUUUACAGAAAGACAACAAUUAUCAACCGUACCCAUUGGAACAGGUCAGACACAUUGCCUAUCAACUGUGCUACUCGGUGCUGUUUUUGCACGACAACAAACUAACGCACACGGAUCUCAAACCGGAAAACAUCCUUUUUGUGGACUCCGAAUUCGAACUAGUGUACAACUCCAAAAAGAGGCGCGAUGUGAUGAGAGUGGCCAAGACUGAUGUUAGGUUGAUCGAUUUCGGCAGUGCUACGUUUGACCAUGAACAUCAUAGUACAAUCGUAUCAACGAGACACUAU
rnacentral:lncRNA from 1 species